rnacentral:rRNA from 1 species
UACGUAGGGGGCAAGCGUUGUCCGGAAUCAUUGGGCGUAAAGAGCGCGUAGGCGGCCCUGUAAGUCCGCUGUGAAAGUCAAGGGCUCAACCCUUGGAUGCCGGUGGAUACUGCAGGGCUAGAGUCCGGAAGAGGCGAGUGGAAUUCCUGGUGUAGCGGUGAAAUGCGUAGAUAUCGAGAGGAACACCUGCGGCGAAGGCGGGUUGCUGGGCUGACACUGACGCUGAUGCGCGAAAGCCAGGGGAGCGAACGGG